ACAGACAAUGGCCAGAUCAUCUUCCCAGAGUCAGACUACCAGAUUUUCUCCUACCCCAACCCACUGCGAACAGGCUUCACAGGCUGGGACCCUGUGGCCCUGGUGGCUCCGUUCUGGGACGAUGCUGACUUCUCCACUGGUCGGGGACCACAUUUUAUCAGGAAUACGAGACGCUCUAUGGUGAACACAGCCUGCUAGUCCAGGAGGCCGAGUCUUGGAUUAGAAAGAUCACAAACAACAGGGGCUACAAGGCCAGGUGGACCCUAAAGGUCACGUGGGUCAAUGCUCACGCCUAUCCUGCCCAGUGGACCCUCGGGAGCAACACCUACCAAGCCAUCCUCUCCACGGAUGGGAGCAGGUCCUAUGCCCUGUUUCUCUACCAGAGCGGUGGAAUGCAGUGGGACGUGGCCCAGCGCUCAGGCAACCUGGUGCUCAUGGGCUUCUCCAGUGGAGAUGGCUAUUUCGAAAACAGCCACUGAUGUCCCAGCCAGCGUGGGAGAAAGUAUCGCCCUGAUAGAUUCCUGAAUCCAACUCAGGCCUCCGAGGGCUGCAGUUCUACAGGCUACACCUGGAAGAAAGGCCCAACUACCGUCUCGAGUGCCUGCAGUGGCUGAAGAGCCAGCCUCGGUGGCCCAGCUGGGGCUGGAACCAGGUCUCCUGCCCUUGUUCCUGGCAGCAGGGACGAUGGGACUUACGAUUCCAACCCGUCAGCAUAGGACGCCGGGGCCUCGGCAGCAGGCAGCUGUGCAGCUUCACGUCCUGGCGAGGAGGCGUGUGCUGCAGCUACCGGCCCUGGGGAGAGUUUCGUGAAGGCUGGCACGUGCAGCGUCCUUGGCAGUUGGCCCAGGAACUGGAGCCGCAGAGCUGGUGCUGCCGCUGGAAUGACAAGCCCUACCUCUGUGCCCUGUACCAGCAGAAGCGGCCCCGCGUGGGCUGUGCUACAUACAGGCCCCCACGGCCUGCCUGGAUGUUCGGGGACCCCCACAUUACCACCUUGGAUGGUGUCAAUUACACCUUCAAUGGGCUGGGGGACUUCCUGCUGGUGGGGGCCCAGGACGGGAACUCCUCCUUCCUGCUGCAGGGCCGCACCGCCCAGACUGGCUCAGCCCAGGCCACCAACUUCAUCGCCUUUGCGGCUCAGUACCGCUCCAGCAGCCUGGGCCCCGUCACGGUCCAAUGGCUCCUUGAGCCUCACGACGCAAUCCAUGUCCUGGAUGGAUCACCAGACUGUGACAUUUAAGCCUGGCCAUGAAGACGGCAGAGGCCAGGAGACGUUCAAGGCCACCGGAGUCUUCCUGAGCCGCAACGGCUCUGUGGUCUCGGCCAGCUUCGACGGCUGGGCCACCGUCUCGGUGACCGCGCUCUCCAACAUCCUCCACGCCUCCGCCAGCCUCCCGCCCGAGUACCAGAACCGCACGGAGGGGCUCCUGGGGCUCUGGAAUAACAAUCCGGAGGACGACUUCAGGAUGCCCAAUGGCUCCACCAUCCCCCCAGGGAGCCCUGAGGAGAUGCUUUUCCACUAUGGAAUGACCUGGCAGAUCAACGGCACAGGCCUCCUUGGCAAGAGGAAUGACCAGCUGCCUUCCAACUUCACCCCUGUUUUCUACUCACAACUGCAAAAAAACAGCUCCUGGGCUGAAGCUUUGAUCUGUGACGGAGACAGCUCAUGCAUCUAUGACACUCUGGCCCUGCGCAACGCAAGCAUCGGACUUCACACGAGGGCAGUCAGUAAAACCUACGAGCAGGUGAAUGCCACCCUCAAUCAGUACCCACCCUCCAUCAAUGGUAGUCGUGUGGUUGAAGCCUACAAGGGGCAGAUCACGCUGAUUCAGUACACCAGCAAUGCAGAGGAUGCCACCUUCACGCUCAGAGACAACUGUACCGACUUUAAGCUCUUUGAGAAUGGGACGUUGCUGUGGACACCCAAGUCGCUGGAGCCAUUCACUCUGGAGAUUCUAGCAAGACGUGCCAAGAUUGGCUUGGCAUCUGCACUCCAGCCCAGGACCGUGGUCUGCCAUUGCAGUGCAGAGAGCCAGUGUUUGUACAACCAGACCAGCAGGGUGGGCAACUCCUCCCUGGAGGUGGCUGGCUGCAAGUGUGACGGGGGCACCUUCGGCCGCUACUGCGAGCGCUCCGAGGAUGCCUGUGAGGAGCCAUGCUUCCCGAGUGUCCGCUGAGUUCCUGGGAAGGGCUGCGAGGCCUGCCCUCCAAACCUGACUGGGGAUGGGCGGCACUGUGCCCCUCUGGGGAGCUCUUUCCUGUGUCGGAACCAGUCCUGCCCGUGAAUUACUGCUACAAUCAAGGCCACUGCUACAUCUCCCAGACUCUGGGCUGCCAGCCCACGUGCAUCUGUCCCCCGGCCUUCACCGACAGCCUCUGCUUCCUGGCUGGGAACAACUUCAGUCCAACUGUCAACCUAGAACUUCCCUUAAGAGUCAUCCAGCUCUUGCUCAGUGAAGAGGAAAAUGCCUCCAUGGCAGAGGUCAACACCUCA